rnacentral:pre_miRNA from 1 species
AAUAAGUGCAGUUUUGCACUAUUUACGUUCAACGUUUGACCGUUCGUUUUAUUUGAAAUUUUUUUAUGAUUAGUAUUUUUAUUGCUAUUAGAUGAUAAAACAUGAAUAGUACUUUAUGUGUGACUAAAUAUUUUUAAAUUUUUCACAAAUUUUUCAAAUAAGACGGACGGUCAAACGUUGGGCACGGAUAUCCACGGCUGCACUUAUU